CCUCUCUAUCCUGAGAAUGGGGAGGUGAUUCGGGCUGAGGGAGACGCCUGUCUGCCCCUCGGGUCUCCUCUCUAUCCUGAGAAUGGGGAGGUGAUUCGGGCUGAGGGAGACGCCUGUCUGCCCCUCGGGUCUCCUCUGUAUCCUGAGAAUGGGGAGGUGAUUCGGGCUGAGGGAGACACCUGUCUGCCCCUCGGGUCUCCUCUCUAUCCUGAGAAUGGGGAGGUGAUUCGGGCUGAGGGAGACGCCUGUCUGCCCCUCGGGUCUCCUCUCUAUCCUGAGAAUGGGGAGGUGAUUAGGGCUGAGGGAGACGCCUGUCUGCCCCUCGGGUCUCCUCUCUAUCCUGAGAAUGGGGAGGUGAUUCGGGCUGAGGGAGACGCCUGUCUGCCCCUCGGGUCUCCUCUGUAUCCUGAGAAUGGGGAGGUGAUUCGGGCUGACGGAGACACCUGUCUGCCCCUCGGGUCUCCUCUCUAUCCUGAGAAUGGGGAGGUGAUUCGGGCUGACGGAGACACCUGUCUGCCCCUCGGGUCU